rnacentral:rRNA from 1 species
UACGUAGGGCGCAAGCGUUGUCCGGAAUUAUUGGGCGUAAAGAGCUCGUAGGCGGCUUGUCACGUCGAUUGUGGAAGCCCGAGGCUUAACCUCGGGUCUGCAGUCGAUACGGGCUAGCUAGAGUGUGGUAGGGGAGAUCGGAAUUCCUGGUGUAGCGGUGAAAUGCGCAGAUAUCAGGAGGAACACCGGUGGCGAAGGCGGAUCUCUGGGCCUUACCUGACGCUGAGGCGCGAAAGCUAGGGGAGCGAACAGG